rnacentral:rRNA from 1 species
UACAGAGGGGGCAAGCGUUGUUCGGAAUUAUUGGGCGUAAAGCGCACGUAGGCGGCUAUCUAAGUCGGAUGUGAAAUCCCUCGGCUUAACCAAGGAAGUGCACCCGAAACUGGAUAGCUUGAGUACAGAAGAGGAUCGCGGAAUUCCCGGUGUAGAGGUGAAAUUCGUAGAUAUCGGGAGGAACACCAGUGGCGAAGGCGGCGAUCUGGGCUGAUACUGACGCUGAGGAGCGAAAGCGUGGGGAGCGAACAGG